GGACUACUCCCAAAUAGUUUAAUAUAAAAUGGGUUGUGGUAGUAUUAAGAAUUAGACAAAGUUAAGCUUCACUUACGCAUAGACCGAUGACAUUGUUCUAUACUUAACAAUACAUCGAGCUUGCUUUUAUUAUAUUCAGUGAAUAAAUAACUUUAAUUUUAAAUUUCUUACACAUACGACAAAGUGGACUUCGUCGUUGAAUCGUGCUGAACCAUCUUCACCAAGACCGUUCACUACAACUAGAAGCCAGUAUAUUUUUUUUUUCAAGCAUCUCCACGCUAACAGAAAUAAUUAUAAAAUGGAAUCUCCUCAAAUCGUUUACCUCCGAUCUUUGAUUGAAGAAUUACAUUUGAAUGUUUUAGAAAACCAAAAAAGUGUUGAUCAAGAUGAGAAGAAAAAAAAAAAUAGAUAUAAGAGCUUUAAAUAAAAAAAUUAAUAAUUUAUAUAAAAAAAAAAUAAUAGAUCUAGUUGAAAUAGAUAGGUUAAGAAAGGAAAAAAGGGACGUUUUAGAUGAGUUUCAUUUUUCUUAUUAUAUUGGUGAAAAAUGUAAUAGACGUAUACGUUAUCGCUCCACAAUUUUAAAUAAUCAACUAGAAGAUUUAAUAAAUAAAUAAAUUUGUUUAAAUAAAUCUAUUUUUUUUUU